AGGAAUGUGAAGAGAGGUCACCAGAUGACAAGGAACCUGGGGACAAGGGUCGGGGUGGCUGAGAAGCAUCUCCUCCCCUGAGAGCCUCAGGUGCCACCCUACCAAACCUCUUGCUUCUCAGCAACCUCUGUUCCAUGCCUACUUCUUGCAGAGGCCUGAGUGUAAGUGGAAACAUCAUUCACUCCUUUCCUUCAUUCAAUAAAGGCCAACGAAGCACCUUACAUGUGGCAGCUAACAGUGUGCUGGGGCUGUGCAUGGAAACAAACUGGACAAGGUCCCUAGUCCUGCACAUUCUGGUCAGGAGAUGAGAAAGUCAAUAGCGUCUCAGAGUGUGCCCCACAGGAAACAAGCACAGUGAUGUGCGAGGACUGGCCAGGAGGAGGGGCUACAUCGGGGCCUCGGAAAGACCUUGGAAAGAGGUGUCACUUGAGCAGACUGAAAAAUGAGAAUGAGCCAGCAGCCACGGGAAGAGCCGGAGAUAGAACAUUUCAGGCAGAGGCAAUGGCAGAGAGAAAGGGCUUACGAAUUAAAUGAAGACAAGGGAGGCCAGGCUGGCUGGCGAUGAGCAGAGGAACAGUAAGAGAUAAGCAAAGAAAAGGCUGGCUUAGGGGCCCAACUUCCCUGGAGCCCGCUGUUAUCCACCCUCCAAGCCUGGACACCAAUUCCCAACAGUCCCAGAACCUUUCCCUGGGCUGCACCUCUUGGCUGCUUUGCUUCCUGAUGCCACCUCCAUCCUGCCCCAUCGUCACGUGCCUGAAACAAAGCUCCAUUUGUCCCAUGGAAGGGAGGCAGCACAAGAACUGGAUACUCCAGCCAGAAUCAGAAACAACCUUAAAUCCACAGAGCAGAGGCUGGGCAAGACGUAAGAGGGCUCUGAGAAGUCAGAGUUACUGUUGAGUCACUGCAAGAUCACAGCUCAACCUGAAAUCCCCAGGCAGCACAGAAGGGCUGUCCAAGCCUUGUCAGAGAGCAGAAGACAGCGAGGACCACAGUACCACUGGUGCCUGCUAUGCUGGAGUGGUGGCAGAAAACCACAUCCCUCUCUGCCCACAGCAGCCAUCAGACUGUGCCUCCCCAAAAGCUGCAGGCAGAAAUGAUACACGGCAACAGCUGGCUCUUCACUCCUCAGAGAGACUUAUUCCACUUUGGGACGGUGCACGAGGAGGUGAGAAAAUACAGGAACAACUUGCAUGCUUCUUGGACAAAUGAGCUAGAGCAAGGGACAGGGGUUGUAUGAGGUAAAGUUGGGGCUGGGGCAUCUUCCUUAACUGCUCACCUCAUUUCUGGAUCUCUGGCUCUGAUUCCCCACUUCCCCAGCUCUGCUUCAGCUCUGGAUGACUGUGGGUUACAAAGCUGUCAUUUCCCCAGUGGUAGGGGAUAAGGCCUCCCCCUCCAAGCUAUUUUGCUAUUUGAGGGCUCUCACUCCUAUUCCUCCGGCUGUGGCCAGUUCUGCAUGGCUACAUAGCAAAUGCCCCAUUCCUAGGAAGGCAGCGUCUCUGUGGGUCUGAACAUGGCUGCUGUCCCCCCAGAAAUGCCACCCCAGCAAGUUGCAAGGAGACAACUAUGAAAAUGAGAGACCAGGUGGCCAUCUCUUUGUAAGACUCCCAUAUUCUGAGAAUCUGGAAGGUUCUCUCUCCGGGGGCCUUUUUUCUAAUGUCCUCCAGCUCAGAGCGCAGGAGCAAGUGAGCACACAGGACACUGCUCUUUUUCCUUCACUGACGGGCCCUGAAACACAAGCUUUAUUUGAGCAGAAUCAAAGCUCCCCACUGAAGAGGAUGAGAGCAGAAUUAAAAUGAAUGUCAAAAAUAAACCCAGCCCACACGAGACCAUCCAUUUUUUGUUGAUCUUUGAGUUUGUGACCACUGUGCUGCUCUACUUGUGGAAGACAAUUCUCUAUGGAGCAAUUGCAUUGUUGGCUUUCUUCUGAGCAAGAGGAAUAGACAGUUACAGACUAUAUUUCCAAGGAUGUUUAUAUACCAAACGGAAGACUGAGACAGUGUCUCCCUCUUGGGCAGAGGCAGAUUUGUUUCCUGACUAGGAAUGAUAAAGAUAAUAUCUCCCUGUAGGACAAAGGUUGGACAGGUUUGCUAGCAGCCUCUGAAAAGACUGGGGUUUCCUAAGCUUGGGAUGCUUAGCUGGGACACAACCCACAGUAUAUCCAGCUUCUACCUGGGACCACAUGGCCCCAUGAGACCUGUGAGCAAGAGGAGCCAGUGGAAACCUGAGGACAUGAAGCAUAGUCUUGGAUCUUCUGCCACCAUCUAUGAAACUGGGGCUGUGGAACUUGUUGGCUUGCAUUAUAGACUGAAUUCUGUCCCCUCAAAAUUCAUAUGGUGAGGGCUAGGGAUUAGGUCAGUGGUAGAAUGCUUGUCUAACAUGUACAAGGCCCUGGGUUCCAUCUCCAGCACAACAAAAAAUAAAAAUCAAAAUCAUGUGGUAGAACCUAAUCCCCAAUGUAUUAGCGCUGGUAGGUGGGGCUGUUAGAAGGUAACUAGGUCAAGAGGGCAAGAGGGCAGAAGCCUCAGGAAUGAGAUUAAUGCUGUUAUAAAAGGGACCCCAGGGCCGGGGAUUUACCUCAGUGGUUCCAGUGCCUGCCUCUCAAGUGCAAGGUCCUGAGUUCGAUCCCCGGUACCAAAAGAAAAAACAGGGACUCCAGAGAAUUCCCUUGCCCCUUCAGCCACGUGAGGACACUGGGAGAUGAUGGAUGUCUCUGACUCAGGAAACAGGCCCUCCUCACCAGACAAUGAAUCUGCCAGUGUCUUAUUCUUAGCUCAAUCCUAACAAUAACCUUUGAAGUAGUGUAACUGUUGAGGGUGUUGUUCCUAUUAUCACACCACCAUAUCAUCAUUGUAUAUGGAAAAGAAAACCCCAGAGAUCUCCUAACAGUUAAGUGACUUGCCUAAGGACACACAGACACACACCCAAGUAAGUAAGGAACAGUGCUUGUUGGGCUGUCCCACCUGAAAAUAGAGGAAAGAAGCGAUGCAGUUUCCCCCUUCACAUGUUCUCAAGCCCCUUUGGAUUUCAGUUCACCCAAGGGCCAGCCUUCAUUCACUCAGCUACUCUGACGUGCUAAGGUGCUUCUUGAGGCCCUUUCUAGCAAACGUUCCCCAAAUGGGACCCCACCUGCCCAAAAGAACAAGGCGCACCUGUGAGUGCCUCCUUGGGUUCCUGUUCUUCUGCAGCCCCCAGAGAUGGCCCAACCCACCACCUCCACCACUGCUUACCCACAAUAUCUUCAUAGGCAUUCUCUUCUAAAGUGCUUUUGGAUCCAAACUUAGGCUGGCUCUCAGUACCAUUCUCAGUGGGAGAAGAGGGGUACAGGGACUGGAGACUGGAUGCAUCCUCAAACUCAAAGGAUUUUCUGUGGAUAACAAGAGCAUGAGUCAUUCUGCCUGAGCCAGAUCUCUGCUGCUUUGCUGCAGAACAGCGUGGCACCAACAGCAAAGACCAAAGCCCCUCCUCAUAAAACCAGCUACUGAGAAAAGCAGCAAGGUAGAUUCAAACUUACCAUCCAAACAAGGUGACAGAUGGCCAGAAAGGCCCCAGCCUGGGUGUCUGCAUGGAGUCUUAUCCCUAAUAAUACCAAUAUUAGGUAACAAUAACCACCACAAAGCAUGCUAUGUGUCAGGUGCUGAGUCCAAUGCACCUUUACAUGUAUCAUCUCCUUAACCUUCACAAUAGUGUUAGCAGUUAUUGUGCCAUUUUACAAAUGAAGAGACUGAAUUGACAGAGGCAAGACUUGCCCAGGCUGCCUGCCUCCAGAGCCUGAGCUUUAAACCACAUCACUGGCCUCCCAACCCUGGAAAAUACCCUCCUUGGGAGGAGUCUGCCAUUCCCACAGGAACGGAGUGCCUGCCCUGCCCCCUAGCAAGGACUCUGCUACUGCACUGGUCAGGCAGUGAGGACUCCACGCUGGAAGGACAUGCGCAACGGCACUGCAGGGGCUGGGGAAGCAGCUGGCACAGGGUGCUUUGUUGAAAAGGAAGGAGUCAAGACCUCUUCUGAGCUAGAGCUAGGAAAACAAUCUGCAGUGUCUUCCCUCCAGCUAGCUCCCUGCUCCUUCCCAUCCCCAGAUAACCUUUCCUCCACUGCAGAAUUUCAAUCACAGGUGGCUGAGUCCUGAGGCCUGGCUCCCAUUUACUGAGACCACAGCACUGCUAUUUUGCUGCAUCCUGUCCUUCUCCAAGGCUCCUGGGAGGAAGACAAGGAGGAACACUAACAGACUCCCUCCUCUCAUCCAUGAACACUUCCCUCUUCCGGUGAUGUCCUUUCUCUCUCCGCUUACCAAACAACUCUUCCUGAGAGUACUGGCGUGCAAGUCACGGACUGAAAAUAUCCUAAAAGCCCCGUCAUGCUCUUAGCUUGCGGCAUUCAACACAACACCACACGCUAAGGCUGGCAUUCUCCUCCACUGCCUCCUAGGUUUCAGCUACUUCUGUACCAAUUAUGUUUCAGGCUCUCUGGAAGAAUUCUCCUUUUUCUACUUGCCUUUAAAUGCCAGCAUCUCUCAGACUUCUGCCUUCAGAAUAUUUUUUUUAACUCUGUACCUUCUAGCAGCCAAAUACCCAUGGGCUAUCACUGUACCUACCACUUGCAUCUUGAUGACUCACAAAUUUGUCUUUGGCCUAGACUUCUCAACUAGUUAAAUAAACACCCAAUGGCCUAG